UAAAUUCAAUUUUAUUAUUUUUUUAUUUAAUAUUGUAAUACUACUACUACUACUACUACUACUAAGAACAAUUGUUAUUAAUAAUAAUAAUAAAUAAAUAAAAUAUAAAUAUACUAUGUCAUCAUGAAUGAGGGUUAGCAGUCGACCUUUCAAUAUUUGUUCCUNCAUAUUCACACAUCAUUAAACUAUUAGCCUACUUUUAUAAUUAAAGAAUAAAUAUUACUUGAUACUUUAUUUUAGAAUACUACUACUACUGCUACUACUAUUAUUACUAUUAUAUUUGGGCUUUAUCUUUGAAUCUAUUAAUAUUAAUCAAUAUACGCAAACUUCAUUUCAGCCUCCGUUUAACCUUGUUUUACAUUUGACAUUUCAGCUCUAAGUUUUGGUGUAGGUGUUUGAUGUCAGAAGUUUGUGACCCCUCCCUUACCUACAGGUUUCAAAGCCUUCUCCACACAGAGACUCUUUAUUCUAGAAGCCUCCAGAAGAGUCAGAGAGCGGAGAGAAUGCAGUCAUUCCGGAGGCGCGGGGCGUGGCUCUGCCAGCUGACUCUGACUCACGCGCGUCAUGUGAUUUCCUUUGUUUACAUCUCCAUAUCCAAUAGCACUGAUAAUGAGCUCAUAGAUGAAUCAGUACUGCCCUUCAGAGGCUACACAAGAUAGUUACCUUUUUUUCAGAAGACAAAAUAAGUUAAAUUUACCCUGAUCUUAAAAAUCAAAACAUUUUCACCCCCCGGCUCUUAAUGCAUGGUUUUUCCUUCUGGAGCAUCGGUGAGUGUUUGAACCUUCUGUAAUAGUUGCAACCAUUCCUCGGUUGUCCUCAGUGUGAAAAGAUGGAUCUCAGAAUCAUACAGUCAUUUUUGAAAAAGGUUCAAAUAUGCAAUAGAUGCUGGAAAACCAAAGAAUGUACAGGAGCUGGAGGAUUUUUCUGAAGAACAGCAGGCAGUUUUACUGUUGAGGACCAACACAGGACUCAUGAACAAUUAUCACAAAACAGAAAAACAGUCGUGGAUCAUCCAGGAAAUCACACAAAGUAUUAAGAUUUAAGGGUUCAGAUAAUUCAUUAAUAAAGUUCAGUUAUUGUUUUUUCUUGUGGAGUAU
ensembl:lncRNA